rnacentral:tRNA from 1 species
AGCAGAGCGUAGUGCAGCUUGGUAGCGCGUGGCACUGCGGUUGCAAAGGUCGCAGGUUGGAAUCUCUCUUUCCGCUA